AUCUGGCUUGACUCUUCUGUUCACAGGUGGUCUGUUUGAGGACCUCUGGUGCCACUGAGUGCCAGCCAGGGAUCUUCAGACUACGAUCCUGGUUCUGUGAUAUACCACAGUCACUGGUUAGCAGUUACGUCUCUGGCCACUGAGGGAACACUGUUAGACCCAGCAUAUCAGCAAGAAAACCCUGGCCUGCCACCAGACAUGGAAGGAAGGUCUUCUGGGGAGGCAGGGGUCAGCCACGGGGAGAAGCUCUGCUGAGAGGGAUUCUGUCCACAUACAGCCCAUCGUGGUGGGGAUGGGCUGUAUGUCAAGGCAGCUGGAGUCGGAAGCAGUUGUCACGUCACAUCCACGGACAGGAAAGAGAGAGGUGCUCUGCUCCACGCUGCUGCGCAGCGGUCCUUCUCCUUGUCCACAGCCUUCCAUCACAGCCAGGGAACCCCACCCACACAGGCUCAUGGUCCCACCUCAGCUAGUAUGGUCAAGAUGGUCCCCAAAGUCCUGCCCAGAGGCCAGUCUGCUUCUUAGUUUUCACUGCAUAUUAAGGUUUCUGAUGGUUUAAAAUUCUGAUUAAUAUGUGAAAGUGAAAAUACCAGAAUAAUAGGGAUAAGAGGAAUAAUCAUAAGCUGUGCCCCUCAUCAACUGGGGAAAUAUUUGAAGAGCCCCCAGUGCAUGGCUCCGAACAACCAAUGACAGUAGCAAUCUCGUUGUGUACUGUUUUCCAUAUGCAUACAAAUGUGUGGUGAUGCUUGUUUACAAUUUAGGCACACUAAGAGAUUAACUGUUACAAAUAGCAGAGUGGAACAGCUGUACUGAUACACUGUAUUUAAAGUUUCAUGGGUAGCGCCUCUCUCUCAACUCCUCAUGCUGACAGUAGAUUUGACAGCUGAGGAGGUCACCAUGUGACUAGCAGGUGGAUGGUAUAUAAGCAUGGACACACUGCACAAGGAAAGAUUUCUACCCUGGGCAGAUAUAAUGUGAUAACAUCAGACUUCUUCCUGUUAUUCAAAAUGCUGUGCAAUUUAAAACUGUAAUUGCUUAUAUACAUUUUCAUUUAUAUAUAUG
rnacentral:lncRNA from 1 species